GCCAAGGUGGCUUAGUGGCUAGGGCACCUGCCAACCAAGCAGGAGACCUCGGUUCGAUUCCCAGCCUUGGCC